rnacentral:rRNA from 1 species
UACGUAGGGUGCAAGCGUUAAUCGGAAUUACUGGGCGUAAAGCGUGCGCAGGCGGUUCUGUAAGUCUGUCGUGAAAUCCCCGGGCUUAACCUGGGAAUUGCGAUGGAGACUGCAAGGCUAGAAUCUGGCAGAGGGGGGUAGAAUUCCACGUGUAGCAGUGAAAUGCGUAGAGAUGUGGAGGAACACCGAUGGCGAAGGCAGCCCCCCUGGGUCAAGAUUGACGCUCAUGCACGAAAGCGU